rnacentral:sRNA from 1 species
CGCACACAUGACCCGUGUCCGGCAGGAGCGGGGGACCCACCACGCAGGACCGCCUGCCACGGUCUCCGUGACAGACCAGGGGUGAUGCCGCGCACCGUGCGGCCGGGCAGCUCCAGCCCGAACCCGGCAGCUCACCUCGCAGGCGCCGGAGAGGAAUG